rnacentral:rRNA from 1 species
UACGUAGGGUGCGAGCGUUUGUCCGGAAUUAUUGGGCGUAAAGGGCUCGUAGGCGGUUUGUUGCGUCGGGAGUGAAAACUCAGGGCUUAACCCUGAGCCUGCUUCCGAUACGGGCAGACUAGAGGUAUGCAGGGGGAGAACGGAAUUCCUGGUGUAGCGGUGAAAUGCGCAGAUAUCAGGAGGAACACCGGUGGCGAAGGCGGUUCUCUGGGCAUUACCUGACGCUGAGGAGCGAAAGUGUGGGGAGCGAACAGG